AUUGAACGCUGGCGGCAGGCCUAACACAUGCAAGUCGAACGAGUGGCGGACGGGUGAGUAAUGUCUGGGAAACUGCCCGAUGGAGGGGGAUAACUACUGGAAACGGUAGCUACUACCGCAUACCAUCGGAUGUGCCCAUAUGGGAUUAGCUAGUCGGUGGGGUAAAGGCUCACCUAGGCGACGAUCCCUAGCUGGUCUGAGAGGAUGACCAGCCACACUGGAACUGAGAAACGGUCCAGACGCCUACGGGAGGCAGCAGUGGGGAAUAUUGCACAAGGGGCGCAAGCCGGAUGAAGCCAAGCAGCGUGGAUGAAGAAGGCCUGCGGGUUGUAAAGUACUUUCAGCGGGGAGGCGUUACCCGCAGAAGAAGCACCGGCUAACUCCGUGCCAGCAGCCGCGGUAGUAC
rnacentral:rRNA from 1 species